ensembl:lncRNA
UGGUGUGUGUGUGUGUUCCAUGUGGUGUGUGUGUGUUCCAUGUGGUGUGUGUGUGUUCCAUGUGGUGUGUGUGUGUGUUCCAUGUGGUGUGUGUGUGUGUUCCAUGUGGUGUGUGUGUGUGUACCGACAUCGCGUUGACAACACAACAUCUCCUCCAGCGAGAGACACACACAGCCUCUUUCAUAGGAAACUAGAGUGGCUAACCUUUGACCUUUACCAUUCAGCCUGUCUGGGUAAACCAGGUCUGGGA